UACAGGGGGUGCGAGCGUUGUUCGGAAUUAUUGGGCGUAAAGGGCGCGUAGGCGGUGCCACAAGUCACCUGUGAAAUCCCCGGGCUUAACUCGGGGCCUGCAGGCGAAACUGUGGUGCUGGAGUAUGGGAGAGGUGCGUGGAAUUCACGGUGUAGCAGUGAAAUGCGUAGAUAUCGUGAGGAAGACCGGUGGCGAAGGCGGAUCUCUGGACAGUUCCUGACGCUGAGGCGCGAAGGCCAGGGGAGCAAACGGG
rnacentral:rRNA from 1 species